GUUGUUCGGAAUUACUGGGCGUAAAGGGCGCGUAGGCGGCCUUCUACGUCGAACGUGAAAUCCCCGGGCUCAACCCGGGAACUGCGUCCGAUACGGGCAGACUAGAGUUCGGCAGGGGAGACUGGAAUUCCUGGUGUAGCGGUGAAAUGCGCAGAUAUCAGGAGGAACACCGGUGGCGAAGGCGGGUCUCUGGGCCGAUACUGACGCUGAGGAGCGAAAGCGUGGGGAGCGAACAGG
rnacentral:rRNA from 1 species